UACGGGGGGGGCAAGCGUUGUUCGGAAUUACUGGGCGUAAAGGGCUCGUAGGCGGCCAACUAAGUCGGAUGUGAAAUCCCCGGGCUUAACCUGGGAACUGCAUCCGAUACUGGAUGGCUUGAAUUCGGGAGAGGGAUGCAGAAUUCCAGGUGUAGCGGUGAAAUGCGUAGAUAUCUGGAGGAAAACCGGUGGCGAAGGCGGCAUCCUGGACCGACAUUGACGCUGAGUGAGCGAAAGCUAGGGGAGCAAACGGG
rnacentral:rRNA from 1 species